rnacentral:rRNA from 1 species
AACUGUGGCCAGAGCUCCUGGUCAAAGCCUGAGCUCGUCUGGUCUCUGAAGGUAAGCGGGACCGGGCCUGGUUAAUCCUGGGAUGGAAGACCGCCGGGAAUACCUGCGGAAUCCCAGCGG